AGUUUUCAAUUGAGAAUUCCCUGUCUCCUUUAGCUGAUCAUAGUAUCUCAUACUACUACUUUAAAAAAAAAAUUGUUUUUAAAUUGUAGUUGGAUACAAUGUUAUGGGCAGCCACUCCAGAAACCACUCUUAAGUCCGAAUUUCAAAUCAAAAAGGAGCUUUAUUUACUGGGUCAGUGACUGUCACCCACAGCAUAGACUCAAGCUCUAUGGGAGGAUAGCAGCUUCCUGGUCCAUCCAAGGAGACUAUAAGCACAAAAAUCCCAACUCAGUGACCCACAUAAGCGAGCCAAUCACAGAAAUUAAAACAUUAAUAAGUGGGACUUGUGGGCUCUAGGCAGGACUGGAAUUUUCUGGUCAACAAUCAAGCGAUAAAUAGAAGCUAAAAAAGAGCAUUACCUUUGCAGUUCAGUUGACCAUCUUCCUGGGUUCAAGCAGGUGCUAGACAGUGGUAUCCUGAAUUUGGGGGAUAGGGGUCGGUGGGGGCGAGAAACCAAUUCAAAGUCAUGUAGACCCACAAGGGCACUCACACCAAGGUACAAUUUGUGGAGUACAAAGUACAGAAAAAUAAUUUUUAUAAGAAAACAGCUUUUAUUUCAUUUUCUCAUAAACAACUCUUGUAACUUUUUUUUUUUUACAGGAGGCAGCAAAAUGGAGUCAGGCCUGUCUGUGACUGUUCUUGCUUUAUAAUUGUCUUAUCUCACUUAUCAAAAUCUUAUAUCCAUAAUCUGUAUUCUUUUUUACUAAUCUAUAACCUUUAUUAUACUCUUAUUGAUUAGUAUUUAUCAGUUCACAACACAACAAUAUUUUAUUUAUUUUUAUGUGAUGCUGAAUAUUGAACCCAGGGCCUUGCACUUACUUGCUAGGCAAGUGCUCUACUGCUGAGCCACAACCCCAGCCCUCAUACUUCUUAAUGUAGUUUAUAUUUUAUUUAUAUACUUCUUAAUGUAGUUUAUACUAUAUUAAUGUAGUUUAAAUUUCAGAUGAACAUUCCAUUGUGCUAAUGUGCCACAAUUUGUUUAUUCAUUUUUUUCUCUUAAUAUCAUUUGGUUUAUUUACAGGUCUUAAACAUUGUAAAGUUAACAAUACUUUCAUUUCUUCUGGGUAAAAUCUAGAAGAAAAAUUGCUGGGUAAUUGAUAAGUUUAACUUUCUAAGAAACUGAUAAAAUUUUAGGAUAAUUAAUUGUAAAGGAGUUGUGUUUGAGGCAACUGCUUUCUGAGUUUGGUUUGAUGUCUAUAUAGGGUUAUGUGAUGGAUUCCCUGGAUUUGUAAACGGAAUGUCAUGGUGGGUCUGUGGGAUUGUGGGUUAGUGACAUGAGAUCACAGGAAAAUCAAUGAGUCUAUACCAACUAUUUAUUAUGGUUUUGUUUGUACAUUUCAUGAUGACUAAAAGUGGAUCACUUUGUGUAAUACUAAUGAGUUAUUGAGAAAUUCAUGUUUCAUAUAUGUUAUUUUGCUUGCAAAAUUGUUUCUAGUGAGCAAGUAAAACUUGAAAGAGGUAAAAUUAUAAUUUCUAGAUCACAGGAUUGUAUAACUAGAAAAACCAUACAAAUUAAAGCCAAUAUGUUGCAGUUGCAUAUUAUCUAUAGAACAGAAGAAAAAUACUUUUGCUCCUACCACUUAAGUUGGUUGAAAUUAUUUUUUUUCUUGUUACUACUGAAGGAAAUUGUGGGUGAUUAACAUCUUUAGACAUUCUAAGUCAACGGAAAUAGUUCUGAUCACAAGAUACAACUCAUAGUAUCUAAAAAAUCAUUUCCUAAAUAAAAUAUAUUCUGUAAAAAUCAGUAUUUCAAACUAUUUAAAGUACUUAAAGGAAAGUUCAACAUCUCUAGCAGAGAAAUGUAAAUUAAAACUACACUGAGAUUCCGUCUCCCUCCAGUCAGAAUGGCAUUCAUCAAGACUACAAGUAAUAAAAAUGUUGGCAAGGAUGUGGGGAAAAAAGUACCCUCAUACAUUGCUGGUGGGACUGAAAAUUGGUGCAACCAUUCUGGAAAGCAGUAUGGAGAUUUCUCAGAAAACUUGGAAUGGAACCACCAUUUGACCCAGAUACCUACUCCUCAAUUUAUAUGCAAAGGACUUAAAAACAGUAUAGUACAGUGAUGCAGCCACAUCAAUGUUUAUAGCAGCCCAAUUCAAAUACCUAAAUUGUGGAACCAACCUAGAUGCCCUUCAAUAGAUGAAUGGAUAAAGAAACUGUGGUUUAUAUACACAAUGGAAUAUUACUCAGCAUGAAAAGAGAAUAAAAUCACGGCAUUUGUAGGUAAGUGGAUGGAGUUGGAGAACAUCAUGCUAAGUGAAGUAAACCAAUCACCAAAAAACAAAGGCUGAAUGUCUUCUUUGAUAAAUGGAUGCUGAUCCAUAAUGUGGGUUGGUGGUGGAGAG
rnacentral:lncRNA from 1 species